UUACCGAGUUUACAACUCCCAAACCCCUGUGAACAUACCUUAAUGUUGCCUCGGCGGAUCAGCCCGCGCCCCGUAAAACGGGACGGCCCGCCAGAGGACCCAAACUCUAAUGUUUCUUAUUGUAACUUCUGAGUAAAACAAACAAAUAAAUCAAAACUUUCAACAACGGAUCUCUUGGUUCUGGCAUCGAUGAAGAACGCAGCAAAAUGCGAUAAGUAAUGUGAAUUGCAGAAUUCAGUGAAUCAUCGAAUCUUUGAACGCACAUUGCGCCCGCUGGUAUUCCGGCGGGCAUGCCUGUUCGAGCGUCAUUUCAACCCUCAAGCCCUCGGGUUUGGUGUUGGGGAUCGGCUCUGCCUUCUGGCGGUGCCGCCCCCGAAAUACAUUGGCGGUCUCGCUGCAGCCUCCAUUGCGUAGUAGCUAACACCUCGCAACUGGAACGCGGCGCGGCCAUGCCGUAAAACCCCAACUUCUGAAUGUUGACCUCGGAUCAGGUAGGAAUACCCGCUGAACUUAAGCAUAU
rnacentral:rRNA from 1 species